GAUGAACGCUGGCGGCGUGCCUAAUACAUGCAAGUCGAGCGAACGGACGAGAAGCUUGCUUCUCUGAUGUUAGCGGCGGACGGGUGAGUAACACGUGGAUAACCUACCUAUAAGACUGGGAUAACUUCGGGAAACCGGAGCUAAUACCGGAUAAUAUUUUUACCCGCAUGGUUCAAAAGUGAAAGACGGUCUUGCUGUCACUUAUAGAUGGAUCCGCGCUGCAUUAGCUAGUUGGUAAGGUAACGGCUUACCAAGGCAACGAUGCAUAGCCGACCUGAGAGGGUGAUCGGCCACACUGGAACUGAGACACGGUCCAGACUCCUACGGGAGGCAGCAGUAGGGAAUCUUCCGCAAUGGGCGAAAGCCUGACGGAGCAACGCCGCGUGAGUGAUGAAGGUCUUCGGAUCGUAAAACUCUGUUAUUAGGGAAGAACAUAUGUGUAAGUAACUGUGCACAUCUUGACGGUACCUAAUCAGAAAGCCACGGCUAACUACGUG
rnacentral:rRNA from 1 species